rnacentral:rRNA from 1 species
AGUGAACGCUGGCGGUAGGCCUAACACAUGCAAGUCGAACGGCAGCACAGUAAGAGCUUGCUCUUACGGGUGGCGAGUGGCGGACGGGUGAGGAAUACAUCGGAAUCUACUUUUUCGUGGGGGAUAACGUAGGGGAACUUACGCUAAUACCGCAUACGACCUACGGGUGAAAGCAGGGGAUCUUCGGACCUUGCGCGAUUGAAUGAGCCGAUGUCGGAUUAGCUAGUUGGCGGGGUAAAGGCCCACCAAGGCGACGAUCCGUAGCUGGUCUGAGAGGCUGACCAGCCACACUGGAACUGAGACACGGUCCAGACUCCUACGGGAGGCAGCAGUGGGGAAUAUUGGACAAUGGGCGCAAGCCUGAUCCAGCCAUACCGCGUGGGUGAAGAAGGCCUUCGGGUUGUAAAGCCCUUUUGUUGGGAAAGAAAAGCAGCAGGUUAAUACCCCGCUGUUCUGACGGUACCCAAAGAAUAAGCACCGGCUAACUUCGUG